UGGGGAAUUUUGGACAAUGGGGGCAACCCUGAUCCAGCCAUCCCGCGUGUGCGAUGAAGGCCUUCGGGUUGUAAAGCACUUUUGGCAGGGAAGAAACAGCCUGGGCUAAUAUCCCGGGCGACUGACGGUACCUGCAGAAUAAGCACCGGCUAACUACGUGCCAGCAGCCGCGGUAAUACGUAGGGUGCAAGCGUUAAUCGGAAUUACUGGGCGUAAAGCGUGCGCAGGCGGUUCGGAAAGAAAGGUGUGAAAUCCCAGGGCUUAACCUUGGAACUGCACUUUUAACUACCGGGCUAGAGUACGUCAGAGGGGGGUAGAAUUCCACGUGUAGCAGUGAAAUGCGUAGAGAUCGGGAGGAACAUCUGUGGCGAAGGCGACUGCCUGGACCAGCACUGACACUGAGGCACGAAAGCGUGGGGAGCAAACA
rnacentral:rRNA from 1 species